rnacentral:lncRNA from 1 species
CUUAAACUUUGACAAUGAUGAUUUCUCUAAAUUCUUGACUUGAAGUUGGAGACUUGAAGCUUCUUCUUUGUGUGGAAAAUAGAAAACAAAUUUGAAGAGAGAAGAAAAAUAUUGUUGGAACUUGAAAAGUGUGUGGGAAGGAAACUUUUGAAGUCUUUUGACUUUUAAACUUUCAGAAUUUAGCUUCUUCUUUUUUUUUAAUGAAAAAUGUGUUUUUAGUUAAUAAAAAUAAAUUGAAGCGAAUUGGGGCUGCCUAGGAUCGAACCUGCGACCUGUGAGUUGAAAUCUUGCAGUAGUACCAGUGAACCAUCCAGCCAUUUUGAGAACGGGUUCAACAAGUUUUAAUAUAAUAUAUUCUUUAAUAAUUAUAGAAGUAAUAUAUCGAGUUUAGUCGGAUGACCACG